AACAGGAUAAUAGUUUAAAAAAAACAUUUAAUUUGCAAUUAAAAAAUAUAAAAUUUAUUUAUCUUA
rnacentral:tRNA from 1 species